rnacentral:rRNA from 2 species
GCAGUUCGAGCGGAUUGAUGGGAGCUCGCUCGCUGAUAAAGCGGCGGACGGGUGAGUAACACGUGGGGAACCUGCCUGUAAGACUGGGAUAACUCCGGGAAACCGGGGCUAAUACCGGAUAACUCAUUUCCUCGCAUGAGGAAAUGUUGAAAGAUGGCUUCGGCUAUCACUUACAGAUGGACCCGCGGCGCAUUAACUAGUUGGUGAGGUAACGGCUCACCAAAGCAACGAUGCGUAACCGACCUGAGAGGGUGAUCGGCCACACUGGGACUGAAACACGGCCCAAACUCCUACGGGAGGCAGCAGUAAGGAAUCUUCCGCAAUGGACGAAAGUCUGACGGAACAACGCCGCGUGAGUGAUGAAGGUUUUCGGAUCGUAAAGCUCUGUUGUUAAGGAAAAACAAGUGCCGUUCGAAUAAGGCGGCACCUUGACGGUACCUAACCAAAAAGCCACGGCUAACUACGUGCCAACAACCGCGGUAAUACGUAAGUGGCAAGCGUUGUCCGGAAUUAUUGGGCGUAAAGCGCGCGCAGGUUGUUCCUUAAAUCUGAUGUGAAAACCCACGGCUCAACCCUUGAAGGUCAUUUGAAACUUGGGAACUUUAAUUCAAAAAAAGAAAGUGGAAUUCCAAAUUUAACGGUGAAAUUCGUAAAUAUUUUGAAGAACACCAGUUGCCAAAGCGACUUUCUUGUCUGUAACUUACACUUAAGCGCCAAAACCUGGGGAACAAACAGCAUUAGAUACCCUGGUAAUCCACAACCCUAACGAUUAAUGCUAAUUUUAAGGGAUUUCCCCCCCUUAUUCUGCAGCUAACUCAUUAACACUCCCCCUCCCGAAUAGGUCGCAGGGCUUAACUCAAAAAAUUAAAGGACCCCCCCCAGCGUUUAACAUUUAGUUUAUUCCAACCACCCCAAAAACUUACCAGUCGUGGAUCGUCUACAACCCAGAAGUAUUCUUUUCCCUUCCGGGAAAGAG